rnacentral:tmRNA from 1 species
GGGGCUGAUUCUGGAUUCGACGGGAUUUGCGAAACCCAAGGUGCAUGCCGAGGGGCGGUUGGCCUCGUAAAAAGCCGCAAAAAAUAGUCGCAAACGACGAAAACUACGCUUUAGCAGCUUAAUAACCUGCU